UACAGAGGUCUCAAGCGUUGUUCGGAUUCAUUGGGCGUAAAGGGUGCGUAGGCGGCGCGGUAAGUCGGGUGUGAAAUCUCGGAGCUUAACUCCGAAACUGCAUUCGAUACUGCCGUGCUUGAGGACUGGAGAGGAGACUGGAAUUUACGGUGUAGCGGUGAAAUGCGCAGAUAUCAGGAGGAACACCGGUGGCGAAGGCGGAUCUCUGGGCCUGUUCUGACGCUGGAGGCGCGAAAGCUAGGGGAGCGAACAGG
rnacentral:rRNA from 1 species